CUUGAGGCUGCCGAGCCACAGCGGCCGCUCCGGCCCAUGCCCCUUGCCGUAGGUGGCGAGGAGCGCGCGCGCCUC
rnacentral:antisense_RNA from 1 species